GCCUGAGGCAGUCUGAAAAGAUUUCACUAAGGACCUAUGAACUGGGUCUCAAAUGGGGCUUUGUUCAAUCAGCAAACUUCAGUGUGGCAGGGGAGUGGACUACAGGCCGUGGAGGAUAAUAACGUUGGAAAAGUAGCUGGGGGCCUGACUGUGAAGGACCUACAAUUCUGUGCUCAGCAGUUCAGAUUUCAUUCUGUGGAUACCAGAGUACAAAUAUUUAUAAGCAUGGGACUUAUGUCAGAAUCACUUUUCUUAAGGAAAUACACUCUGGUGCCAGAAAAGGUUAAGGAAAGCCAAGGAAAGGUGUUUUUGUCUACUCUAGAGCUAGACUGAUAAAGAGGAAGCAUCUUACCCGUGGGAAACAGCAUGGUGGGAGCAGCUGUAAGAACCUAGAAGGAAGCUAGACUGAGGAAGGCAGCUGGCACUUCCCUGUUAGCUGCCAGGUCCUGAGGGUUAAAGGAACUCGGAACCGUUAUUUUAUGACAUUGAAAGCACAAAGGAGAAAAUGUUGGAAGCUGAUCCAAACUGAGAAAGGAGUAUGAUAAUUUGCCAAGGAUGCCGGCUCCACAUCCUAAACUGUCUGGUGAGAAGAAGGAGGCCACUACUGUUGAAAACUACUCUCGAUGGGUUUUUACAGAGAAAUAAAACACUUUAAUUCUGAAUGUUUCUAAUGUUUCAAAUUACACAUACUAAAUAUUAAUUUUACUAUUUUUUCACUUCCUUAUAUAUUUAUAACCAGCAAUAAGAAUUUCUUAAUGUUUUGACAUUUCUGUGAUUGGUCACAGAGCAAUUGUAAUUUUCUCACUGGCUCUUCUGACUCCUUUGCAGGGUGUUUUAGCUUGCUUGCUCAUUUUUGCAGUACUGCACUGCUGUGUAAGGCAAGGACUGCCUGUGUGGAAAACCCACCUGAUGUAGUCCUCAUGGCUGGAGCUCUCACUGCAGAUAUAGGCGACCUCCACCUGUUGGCUGGAAAGAGCAUCCUCCAAAGAAAUCUGCUGGACUCCAUCAAUGCUCCCGAGCUCCCUUCUAUUUCAGAGUAACAGAGAAAUGGAACUCAAUGGUAGACAGAAGAAAGGAGCACCAUCCUUCUCCCCUCCUCCCGA
rnacentral:lncRNA from 1 species